GGUGGAGCAUGUUGGUUUAAUUCGAAGAUACACGAAGAACCUUACCUGGCCUUGACAUGGUAGGAACCCUUAAGAGAUUAGGGGGUGCUAGCUUGCUAGAACCUACACACAGGUGCUGCACGGCUGUCGUCAGCUCGUGUCGUGAGAUGUUGGGUUAAGUCCCGCAACGAGCGCAACCCUCGUCCUUAGUUGCUAACAGUUCGGCUGAGCACUCUAGGGAGACUGCCUUCGCAAGGAGGAGGAAGGUGAGGACGACGUCAAGUCAUCAUGGCCCUUACGGCCAGGGCUACACACGUGCUACAAUGGGGCGUACAGAGAGCUGCGAUACCGCGAGGUGGAGCCAAUCUCUUAAAGCGUCUCUCAGUUCGGAUUGUUCUCUGCAACUCGAGAACAUGAAGCUGGAAUCACUAGUAAUCGCAGAUCAGCUAUGCUGCGGUGAAUACGUUCCCGGGUCUU
rnacentral:rRNA from 1 species